ACUCUUCUCUCUCUCUCUCUUCCAAGCCAUAGGUUCCUCUACACAACUCUGCUCUCUCUCUCUUGCAUCUAAGCCCUACCUUUCUCUCUCUGCUCUCUCUCUCUCGUCAAAGCCCUAUCUUUCUCUUUUCGCUCUUCACGACCUUUCAUACACAGGAGUUCUUCACAUCAGGCUCUCACGACUGCCAUGGUUGAGGACAGCGAGAAUCAGCUUGGUUCUAUUCUAUGUCAACAGAUGAUGUUAGUAGGGCUUCUCGACUUCUAGAUACUAAGAUUCAAGUGCUCAAGGAGGAGUUGCAAAGAUUAAAUCUUGAGUUGGAUUCCUUCAAGGAAAAGAUAAAGGAGAAUCAAGAGAAAAUAAAACUCAACAAGCAGCUUCCAUAUCUGGUCAGCAAUAGUGGAGGAAAAUGGUUGCAAGGAACAGAGGAUAUGGUUUAAAGAUCAAAUGGGCCAACACCGUGGCAUCCGUGGUAAUAAGACUUCUCGUAUUGGAGGGAAGGAUUAUAAUACAUUAGAUGACUCAACAAAGAGAUGUUUGGAAAUGUUAUGUGGUCCCGAUGGUGAGAUUCCUGAGGAAUUACAGAAUUUAUAACCUCAUCAUAUUGAACAUGUCUGUAAUGAGAUAAUGGAGCGGGAUCCCAAUGUUCGCUGGGAUGAUAUUGGUAACAUAAGAUGUUGUAGACUUUUCCCAUUUUCAUAUUCUUGUAGAAAGUUUAUGUAUUUGGACAUUUUGUUCUAAUCAUAUUUUUUUGCCUGUCCAUUCUCUAGCUGGUUUGGAGCAUGCUAAAAAAAGUGUGACCGAGAUGGUUAUAUAGCCUUUAUUAUGUCCUAACAUUUUUAAAGGUUGCCAUUCUCCGGGAAGAGGUCUUCUUCUGUUUAGUCCCCAGUACCGAGAUCAAGAUUCGGGAUUCACAUCAUGCUUGGAUGAUUUGUAGACUUGAAGUUUUCAUUUCUUGUAAAUGUUGGCUUGAAAUGUCAUUUAUAGCUUAUAUGUCAAAAUGUGUAAAUUUGAUUCUAUUUUUAUAAUGUGUACAUAAGUACACUCUUUACAAUGUAUUUGACAUGUAUGAGAUGAGGCCGGAAGCCAAUGACAUGUAUCUUGCUUUCUAUGCACUUUCGUUUUCAAGGCUUAAUAUGAAAAUGUUGAAAAAUGUUUAGACAUUGUGUCAUAACUUUUGCCGGGUGUGGGAAUUUCAUUUUUAUUCUUUCGUAGGGUCUCAUUAAUCAUGUUUAAAGUGUGGCCAAGGGUCAAAUGGUAAUUUAAAAUCAUUUGUCAAUUUUGGUUUUCAUAUUUUCAAUUUCAAGUUCAUUUUUGCCUUUUUGGCCGUUGGGGGGUCGGAUUUUGACUCGGCCAUUUCUGGGAGCGGUGGACCAUUCCCACGUGUUCAAAAUCACCAUUUACGUCUAUGUGCAUGAUCGUUUCCGGAAAAACCCUUUCGUUUGUGAUUUGAGCCUCCUAUGGAACCAUUUUUCAAUUUUAUUGCAUAAUCUGUUCUAGGGGUAUUAUAGACUUUUUACAUCAGUUUUAUUUUCUUCUUUCGGCAUUGUCACUUAAAAAACGUGAUUUUAGAGGGGUUUUCUUCUUCGUGUUUUUCCAGAAAACAUCGUCUUGGUACCGGAAAUCUCUCGUGAAGUUUCAGCUUCCAGUUUCAUUUUAGCAGCUGUUUAGCUCUUUUGACCAGAUUUCUUGGGAGGGCAUUUUGGCCAUUUUGCAGUGAGUUUUUUUUAAUUGUUUUAUAAGUCACGUAGAAAACUCAAUUUUGAGGGGGGUUUCUUCUUUGUGUUUUUGCAAAAAAAAUUCAUCUAGGCCUCCAAAUUCAGCCUCUGUUCUGGAAUUUUCUAAAAAAAAAACCACACAGCAGCUUUAUGGGCUGCUGCGAGCCAUGGUGCACCCAGCGCGCGCGCGACGUGCAUGGUUGCGCGCAUUGGCGUGCGCAUGGGGCUGUCAUGGCCCCUCAUCAGGCCGCCGCGACGUCAAUUCUUCUUUUGGGCUUUUCUCCUUCGUUCAGACUCCAAUUCAAGUGAAUUUU